CAAAAUAUAGGGUUAGUUCCUUGCCAUUUUGUUUGUGAGCAGGGUAUCAAUUUUCAAAAUUUAGCUAAUUUGUUAGGGGUUUUAUUGAAAUGCAGUCCUGCAUAUAACAACGUACAUAUACAUGCAACUCUGAUGUAUUUAAAAUGAAAUCGUAUUGUAACUGAACUUUAUUGUACCUACACAUUUUCUCACUCUUGUUCUAACCACUGAAGAAUAAACAAGUACUUUUAAUACAAAAUUUAACAGGUUAUGAGCCCAGGUCCAAAUUCCUGCGGUUCAAGUGAUAAAGUGAAUAUAAUAUGAGUACGUCUCUAUCAGGGUUGGGCAUUUUUGCACUACCACUAAUUUGCACUACCACUAAAUAUUUAGUGAUAGUGAAAAACAAAUUGAACUACCACUAAACCUUUAGUGAUAGUGAAAAACAAAUUGCACUACCACUAAACCUUUAGUGAUAGUGAAAAACAAAUUGCACUACCACUAAAUAUUUAGUGAUAGUGAAAAACAAAUUGCAAUACCACUAAAUAUUUAGUGAUAGUGAAAAAAAAUGCACUAUCACUAAACCUUUACUUUACAGCCAUCCAUAAGUGCUAGUACAUCAUUUCUCGAAUUCGAUGACGAGUCCACAGAUGAAAAUCAAUGUAUACAAGGCGGAGCUGUAGCAACCGAAGUAACUUUGUACUUGAAUGACGCUGAUAGAAGCAUUGAUGCUUUGCACCGCUUUCCUAUUAUAAAAAAAAAAAAUUUUAAAUACAACACACCUCUUCCUUCCUCUGCGCCAGUGGAAAGACUUUUUUCCUUUGCUGGAAUUGUCAAUCGAUCCACAAGGCAAAAUCUCACCGACCGUAAUUUUGAAAUGUUGGUAUUAAAAAAAGCACAUAAAAAAUGAAUUAUGUUUUCCUAAUUUUGGUGCGGCAUAAUUAGAAGUCUCUACUCAAAUAUAUGGUUUAUUUUGAAUACAUUGCCUCAUACUGCUUCAGCUUAUACAUAUAUGUACAUACAUAAUCUUAUUUUUAUUCUUCAAGAAACAGUGUUAUGUUACUGAAAAAUGUUUAUUAUCACUAAGGGUUUUCACUAUCACUAAAGAUUUUCACUAUCACUAAAUAUUUAGUGGUAGUGCAAUUUGUUUUUCACUAUCACUAAAGGUUUAGUGAUAGUGCAAUUUGUUUUUCACUAUCACUAAAGGUUUAGUGGUAGUGCAUUUUUUUUUUCACUAUCACUAAAUUUUCAGUGAUAGUGAAUUUUGCUGUUUAACUACCACUGAAGAAGUAGUGCUAGUGAAACCUUAUUGCAUUUAUUUUUUAGUGCACUAUGCCCAACCCUGCUAUCUGGGCGUUUAUGACGCUAAGUGCUGUGGUGGUGCUGUGCACUUUGCGGAAUCCAUGCUGGUGGCUGGCUAGGCUCAGGUGGUGAGUGAAGGUCGGGAGUAACAAGGCCUCAAGUGUCUUCACUACUGGGGAGAGGAUAGUUAUCAGACGAUAAGAUUCCCCUUUGUUGGCGGGUUUCCCUGGUUUCAGUAGUGGGACCACUCUUCCGACUUUCCACACAUCGGGGAUUUGAAGAGUGGUGAGCGACAGGUUAAGGACCUUGGUGAGAUAUUUUACUCCCGUCGAGCCUAGAUGCUUUAGCACUAACAUGUUGAUUCUAUCGGGGCCAAUGGAUUUGGAAGAUGUUGCCUUGUUGAUGGCACCCUGAACCUCCGCAUCGGUGAAAGUAAGUGGCGCGCAGUUGUUUGGCAUUUUGCGCAGCCAUCGGUUAACACAUCUCUUAGCCUUGUCUACCAAAGGGUGCAGUGUAAACUGCCGGCUGAAAUAGCUCGCGCACUUCUUCGGGUCCGAAGAGGCACGAUCAUUGAAUUGAACUUCAACUCGGUCGUCAUGUCUCUUCGGAAUAGACAAAGCUUUGACAGUAGCCCAAAGCUUACUGACACCGGUGGAGAGGCUGCAGGACUUCAGGUGCUCUAUCCAUUUCGUCCGCUUAUGUUGAUUUACCAUGCGCCGAAUCUCCAAAUUGAGAUCCCUUAUUCGGGGAUCCCCGGGAUCGGCAUGGCGUAAGGUGUCGCGCUCGUUAGCUAGAACAGCUGCUUCGGCUGGGAAAUUGGGGCGAAUUUCCGCUAUUCUUCCAGCCGGGAUGAAGCCAGCGGUAGCUGCUGCGAUCACCUUGCGGAAUUGACGCUCGCCAACGCAUACGUCCGUAGGAAUGGGUAGAGCGUUGAAGUUGCUCUCGGUAAAUUCUGUGAAGCCGAUCCAAUUAGCUUUUUUAGAGUUAAUGAAGGUACGGUUGUCCACAGAAACGAAAUCAGGAGGCUUCUCGAUCGAGAUAAUUAUGGGCAGAUGGUCUGAUGCAAGAGUUAGCAUAGGUCGCCAGGUUAUGCUAUUUAUCAGACCACCGCUAGCAAAAGUAAUAUCGGGCGAGCUGAUACAGGUGCCCAUAACUCUGGUGGGGGCUUCGUCAUUCAUUGUGCAGAAUGUCGAGUCGUCAAUCUGUUCCGCCAGCUCCAUCCCCCUACGAUCAUUUGACAG